rnacentral:rRNA from 1 species
GACAGAGGUCUCAAGCGUUAGGCGGAAUCACUGGGCUUAAAGCGUGUGUAGGCGGACUUCUAAGUGCCUUGUGAAAUCCCACGGCUCAACCGUGGAACUGCUGGGCAUACUGGUCGUCUUGGGCCAUCUAGGGGCUACUGGAACAAACGGUGGAGCGGUGAAAUGCGUAGAUAUCGUUUGGAACGCCAAUGGUGAAAACAAGUAGCUGGGGAUGUGCCGACGCUGAGACACGAAAGCCAGGGGAGCGAACGGG